rnacentral:rRNA from 1 species
GGAGUUAGCCGGUGCUUCUUCUGUGAGUGAUGUCCUUCCUGCCGGCUAUUAACCCGCAGGCCUUCUUCCUCACUGAAAGUGCUUUACAACCCUAAGGCCUUCUUCACACACGCGGCAUGGCUGGAUCAGGGUUGCCCCCAUUGUCCAAUAUUCCCCACUGCUGCCUCCCGUAGGAGUCUGGGCCGUGUCUCAGUCCCAGUGUGGCUGAUCAUCCUCUCAGACCAGCUACGGAUCGUCGCCUUGGUGAGCCGUUACCUCACCAACCAGCUAAUCCGACAUAGGCUCAUCCGAUAGCGCGAGGCCCGAAGGUCCCCCGCUUUCCCCCGUAGGGCGUAUGCGGUAUUAGCCUGGGUUUCCCCAGGUUAUCCCCCACUACCGGGCAGAUUCCUAUGCAUUACUCACCCGUCCGCCGCUCGCCACCAGGGAGCAAGCUCCCCGUGCUGCCGCUCGACUUGCAUGUGUUAGGCCUGCCGCCAGCGUUCAAUCUGAACCAAGAUCAAAUUCUGA